rnacentral:tRNA from 1 species
GUUGUAGCUCAAUGGUAGAGCACUCGCCUAGCAUGUGUGAGGCACUGGGUUUGAUUCUCAGCAAC